CGGUUCUCAUCUGAUCAUCGAAGUUAAGCAAGUUUGACACUGAUUAGUACUUAGAUGGGUGAUCGCUUAGAAACACCAGAUGCUGUAA